AUGUGACUAGUACUCACUAAUGGAAAUGAUGGAGGUGGCAUAUAUCACUUCCAAAUAGACGUGGCUAAGAAGCAGGUGUUCCUUCUCGACCCACCCUCUUUUUCCCCAUCUGUAAUGGCUUUGAAGGUAUGUGCUGAAGUGGACCAAGUGACAAACUGGAAGGAACCUGGAUCCCUGAAUCACCAUGGUGAAAGCCACCCACCAAACAUCCACACUAGACGGCUGUGCAAAUGAGGAAACUGAGGCACAGAAAGACUAUGACCUGCCCAAUGCCACUUAGCUGGAGCUGCUUAACAGGCUCGACUAUAACCCAGCACGUGAAAUGUACAAUAACAUCCGGAUGUGGCACCAGGCCCCGCUUCUACCACACUCCAGCAAAAAUAAACCUCUCCAUCCAAAUAUAGAGCGGUCAGAAGUGCCAUGUUUUACAGGGUAAGAGGCAGUUAUUUGGCAUUAAAAAUAGACAAGCUUUAGCUUCCCUGCAAAUCUGGGCAAGGGCACUGCAAUUUCCAAAUGGAAACCUAGAUGGAUAGGGGAGGCCCCCCUCCAACUGACUCAGCUACUUAAAAAGCCCACAAUGAAACUUACAUCCCCUUUCUGGGCCUCAGUUUACUCAUCCAUAAAAUGAAGAGGUAAAGCAAAACAACUGAUGGGACUUCAAGCUCCCACGCUCUAUGAGAGUACUAACUGGAGUCCAAAGCUGGCCCUCAGAGAGCUGAAGGUCUCCUAAAUCAUGGGGACCCUGUGUGCAGAUGAGGUGUGACCUUGGCUGUGACCUUGGGCUCACAGCUUUCUGCAGAUAGGACCAAAAGUAGUUCUGCCCCCAGGGAUUUUCAGAAUUCUGUCAAGGGCCUUAAAUUACCCUUUGGAGUCAGACACAUUGUUAAGCCCCAAAGAAAGGCAAGCCAGAAGUACCCCCUACAACUAGCAUAACUGCUGCGAUGCUACCUUGAUAAAAGGAAACCAAAGCCCAGCUUGACACCAGAGGGGAGAGCUGAGAAGAGGGUCUGCCAGGGCAUUUUCUGUCACCGAGGCUGCCUGCCACCGCUGAGUGCCUUUGCACUUACCCCCUCCCUCAUCCUGCAGAAGGCUGGACCCAGAUCCAAAGCCAGGUCUGCAUCCAAAGCUUCCUCACUCCGCCCCUCCCCCCCACCCCUCCCUGGUUUUUCCACCUCAUGAGGCCUUCCCUGUGCUGCUUAUGGUGAGGUCAGCAUGGCCCUUGUCCACUCGCAGAGUCGAAAGGAAGUCCUGACAAAAGCAGGGAGACUGGGGGUAACUCAGGACAAGAGUCUAAUUCCCUGACGGAUCCCCUUGCAUUUUUCCCACACCUUGAAAAAGAAAG